UACGGAGGGGGCUAGCGUUGUUCGGAAUUACUGGGCGUAAAGCGCACGUAGGCGGCUUUGCAAGUUAGAGGUGAAAGCCCGGAGCUCAACUCCGGAAUUGCCUUUAAAACUGCAUCGCUAGAAUUGUGGAGAGGUAAGUGGAAUUCCGAGUUGUAGAGGUGAAAUUCGAUAGAUAUUCGGAAGAACACCAGUGGCGAAGGCGACUUACUGGACACAUAUUGACGCUGAGGUGCGAAAAGCGUGGGGAGCAAACAGGG
rnacentral:rRNA from 1 species